UACGUAGGGUGCGAGCGUUAAUCGGAAUUACUGGGCGUAAAGCGUGCGCAGGCGGCUUUGUAAGACAGAUGUGAAAUCCCCGGGCUUAACCUGGGAACUGCGUUUGUGACUGCAAGGCUGGAGUGCGGCAGAGGGGGGUGAAAUUCCACGUGUAGCAGUGAAAUGCGUAGAGAUGUGGAGGAACACCGAUGGCGAAGGCAGCCCCCUGGGUUGACACUGACGCUCAUGCACGAAAGUGUGGGGAGCAUUCAGG
rnacentral:rRNA from 1 species